AAUUUAUUAUAAAAUUUAAAUUAUAAAUUCAAAAAUUAAAAUUUAUAAUUUUAAAAUUACAAAAUUAAAAAUUUAAAUUUUAAAUUGUUUAAUUUAAAAUUUAAAAUUUUGAUAUUUAAAUUUUUUUUAUAUUUAGAAUUUGAUAUGUUAUUUUUUAAAUUAAAAUUUCAUCUUAAAUUUAAUGUUCAAACUUUAAAAAAUUAAUUUUUUAAAAUUAUAAAUUUGAGAUUUUAAAAUUUAAAAUUUUAAUUUUAAUUUUUAAAUUAAAAGUUUAUAUUUUAACUUUUAAAAUAUAAAUAUAAAAUAUAAAAGUUUAAAUUCUAAUAUAAAGAAAAAGAUAAUAUCAUUAUUUUUUAUUUUUAACUACCAACUUUAAUUCUUAUCCCAUCUUACCUAACCAAACGCUAUUUUUCUUAUUCCCAGCAAUAACUCAAUUUUCAUCCAAACACAAAAUUGAUCUAAUCCUCGCUUAUACCUCAAUUUAUACCUAUCCCUGGAAUUCCCACUUUUUGCUUAUCCCCGAACCAAACGAUACCUUAGUGUUACUCAAAAUACUGCGAUUUUAACCAUGUCAGUAUGUCACAAGGUUCCAAAACAGGUAUGUAGGCAAAUGAAAAAAGGGGUAGGAUUUGGGGUUUAGAAGUGGGCUGGUAGUGGCACAAGCCACUCAACAACCUCCUAGAAGCCUCGCGAACCCAGCCGUGCGCCGAGCAAAGCGCGGCCGCCUCACAGCCAACAGACCCGCGCCACGCUCUCACAGUCAUCUCUCCCCUCCUCCCUCCCCCUCUCUCUCUUAUUUUGGAUGCCGCCUCUUCCUCCUCCUUCUCCUUCCUCCCAGAGGCGUCUCCUCUCCCUCCUCUUGGCCCUCAAACCCCCAUUCUCCUCCUCCUCCUCCUCCUCCUCNNNNNNNNNNNNNNNGCGCGAACCGUCGCCGCGCGGCGGUUUGACGUAGUAGCCGACCCGCCGCCGUCGCCGCCGCGGCCUCGAGAGCCGGUCCGAGUAGGAGCGCUGAGGCAGCCGCUGUAGCCGCCGCCGCCGCCGCCUCCUCCUCCCGCUACUAGCCCCGAAGAGGGAGGUAACGCCGAGGAAGGGGCUCCCGAAAGGGACGCGUUGCUCUAGUCCUUUGCUCCCAAUUCGGAUGCGAAUCCUAGCUUCUUCUCCCCCAACCCCCUCACCUCUCAUGGGCCGUUCUCCCGUACCCCACUCUCUCCCUCCUCCUUCUUCUCCUCCUCCUAGCCGCCUCCCCCUCCUCCUCCACCUUCCUCCUCCUCGCGAUAGGCGGGAGCCAGAGAGGGGUGUGGUUGCCGAAGCCGUAUACGACGGCGACUGGUGCCGCCGCUGCGCCUGCGGAGGUUGCGGCCGCGGGGCCGAGCACUGCGGUUGUGGUGGAGAAGGAGGCGGGGGUGGGCGUGGGAGGGUUGACGAAGCUGUUCAAGGGGCCGCUUGGUGCUGAUUUCAAUGUGGAUAAUAAUACGUUUAGCCAGGCACAGAUUAGGGCCACGUUCUAUCCCAAAUUCGAGAACGAGAAGUCCGAUCAGGAGGUUUGCUCUCGAAUCUUGAUCAGUUUCUAUUGAUAUUGUUUUCGAAUUGUUAGAUUGAUUAAUAAGGAGUGUGGGAUACUUGAAAUGCAAGUACGAAUUGUUCAAUUACAGGGACAAAGCAAAUAAGCAAUAGUUCUGAAAUGAAAGAUUCUAUAACUGAGAUACAAAAAGGUAUUGUUGCACUUGCAAGGUAUUGUUGAACUUGCAACUUGGUUAAAUGUGGGCCUGCUUAGAUGUUAGAAUAAGUUAUUCGAUAAUAACUUAUGCACUGUAAGAAUUUGCUUUUUCUAUUCUCUCUUUUCCCUAGCAUAUUUCAUUUGAAUAACGGUGUAGAAAUCUAUGGCCCGAAUGGCUAAUUUGGUUUCCUAAAAUAUCCUAAUUCAGCGACAAUGUGUUAAUUUGAGGCAACUAGAAUAGUUGGGAGUGGUGCAUUUUCUGUUUUAAUUCUUAUUCUUUCUCGUGCCGCACUGUCAUGCUUUGGUGAUCAAUAAUAUCUUUGUUUUUUAUUCUGUCUGAUAUUUUCUUAUUUCAUAAAUUGCAUAAUAUUCUCUUAAUUAGACCGAGGAUUUAAGUGCCUAUUGGCACGGAUAAUGUCCCCUGUGCCAUACCGUGUUGACAAGGUAUUGUCACGAUAUGAAUCCCAUGCUGACGGGACAACUCAAAUCCUCUGUUUUCGAAAUUAGCAAGUUAUUUCAUUAAUAGAAUGCAAAAGAUUUGAUAAAGAAAUAUAUAUUCGAGAGCAAUUAGAAUGUACCAAAGAAAAGAAUAUAUUUGUUCAUACCCAAGUGUGUCGACAGCACGCCAUAUUGUUGAAAAGCGCUCAGCAUAGCGCUGUGACUUAGCACUUAAAUCCUUGAUUUGACCUUACUACGGAGCCCUUUUGUAAAAUAAAUUGAUAUGUAUUUGUCUUGUAUGGCAGAUCAGAACAAGAAUGAUCGAGAUGGUCUCGCAUGGCCUGGCUACUUUAGAGGUAUAUUGCAAAACUUUUUUUUUUUAAAAUACUAUAAAGGACUUCUUGGUCUCACUCAAUUUCUUAGAUGAGACCUGCAGAAUGUUAUGCUUUCAUUCAGCUAGUUGAUGCUUGUAGAAACUGGUUAUUAGAGUUUAAAAGUUGUAAUGAUUAAUUGUUUUUUGCAAUGCUAUUUUGAUUCUCUGCAGGUCUCGCUCAAACACUCUGGAUCUUUGUUCAUGUAUGCGGGCCAUGAGGGCGGUGCAUAUGCAAAGAAUAGCUUUGGAAACAUGUAUGCCUGCUGAUAACAUAUCCUAUUAUUAAUUUUCUAAGUUCUCAAGUCACAGGGGUGCCUAGAUUAACUACUGUACAUAUUUUCCUUUUAGAUACACUGCAGUUGGUGUCUUUGUUUUGGGACGCAUGUUUCGUGAAGCGUGGGGCAAGGAGGCAUCCAGGAUGCAAGCAGAGUUUAAUGAUUUUCUUGAGGUAGUUGCAUCUCUAUUAUUAAUUCUCACAAGUUACUUGAUUUGGCAGAAUAUGGUUUCACCUGCAACAUUGAUGUCAUAGAGGCAUAGAGCUUUCUCAUCCUGAAACUUUUUCUCUAUGUCCAACUUCUGCUAAUAGUAACUAUGUCAACAGUGACUUUUGUUCAUACAUUCCUUAAUGUAGUCUAUACAGAAAAAUAAUUAGAAUAUCAUUCUGAGCGAUGUUAUGUUUUGUUUUGUUUGGCUUGGAUCAUGGAACAUCUUUUUACGUAGAAGGCGGGUGUUUUCUCAAAUGGAAAAUCUAGAGCUUCCGGCUAGAUAGAGGUCAAAAUGAGGCUUUGGACACGAAGUAUAACCUUUGUUUGAAGCUUCUGACUUUGCUAAUAAAAUAUGGGAGUAUUUUAAUGAGAAAGAUGUGAGAACUUAGUACUCAAGGAUCACUGAAAAAAAACUUUCACGCAAUCUUGGAUUGAAUCAAUCAGUCAGUAGAAAGUACAAUGACAUUAGUUUGCUUAUUGGACAACUAGACUAUCUAUAGGUUUGCUUGAGCAGGCAUUUAGCUUGCAUUGCUGAUUGAUGAAAGGUAAUAUUUUUCUUUCUUGCGAUAUUACACGGAUGCUGCUCGAAGGGAGCCACAUCUAUGUUUGACGUGUGGGACUUGGGAUGUGCGGUGGAUGUGUGGCAACCCGUGUUCGCUGCACAUGCUGAAAAAAGGGGAAAGACAUGGAGAGGACGCACACGUAGUGAGUCCUCUCCGUGCAGGGAGGAAGCUGGGUCCCCAACAAUGUAAAAAUAUUACUGCUUGCACCUGGUGUAUUUGUAUAUAUGCACUAUAGCUAAUAUUUGAUAAUUAAUAUUUUAAAAUUAAAAUCUAAUUUGAUUUAUGUGAUUUAUAAUAUCUAAAAGCCUCAUGUAUAAAAUUAUAAGUGUAGAAAAUUUAUUACUUACAUUAAGUAGUUCCAAAAUCAACUGUGUAAAAGGAGCCAUUGUUUGAUUUAUAAAAAGCUAUUGGCCAAAGUUUAGAUUUUUGAUGUAUAUUUUUUUUAAAUAUUAAAUAAUACACCUAAUGAAUUAGAUUUUGAUAAAUUUUUUUUGUGCGGUGUAAAAGAUUUACUUAUACACUAGGGGUAGAUAAUAAAUUUCUUAAAAAGGAUUUGUUCAUGCUCCAACUUUGUUGGGUAUAAAAUUAGAAUUUAUUUGUUAGUUAAUUUACAAAUAUUCUUAUAUUUUAUUUAUAUUAUAUAAUAUAAAUUUAGAUUAUUAUAUUAGAAGUAAUAUUUUAUUUGUGCCCAAGCCGUGUUUGUGUCCUACUUCCUCAAUGUUGCCGUGUCACCUUCUCCAAGUAUUGUAGUGUCUCGUGUCCAUGUCUGUGUAAUCUAGGUCUCUUCACUCUCUUUUCUGCAUCUUUCCUCUUUUUGUUAGAAGGCUUUUAAUAAAUGGUAUGUGGAGUGGAAGGAUGACUAGGGCCUUUUCUCAAGGAGAGAAAAGGUCCUAGACAAAGCUACAUAAUUACACCUGCUAGAAUGAGCAUGAACUUCUAUUUAUGUUUUCUUAUUAUCUCUCAAGAUGGCUGUUUUUUUUAUUUUUAUUUUCUUCAAUAGAAAAGUCGCAUAUGUAUCUCGAUGGAGCUGGUCACUGCUGUUUUGGGGGAUCACGGACAACGACCCAAAGAUGAUUAUGGUACGAAUAUUCUAUUUUUCUUUCCGUAUAAAAUAAACUUUCAAUCUAUUUGUAGAUCUUGCAUAGUAUAUAUUUGGUUGACUAACCUGCAUGCUAUUCGUAAUUUCUCAGUUGUUGUGAAUAAAGACACAUUUUUAGUUCUAAAAUUUUAGAAGUGAUUCUUCUUGUGGUGCUUGCACAUGUUUUUUCCUUCUUAAUUAAUGUAUCUUCUACUUGUUUUUCCUAUUUCAUUAUCAAAUUCCAAUACUAAAAAAACAUGUUUGAGGGAGGAAGAACGAAUUUCAUCAGUUGUUCUGGCUACUUAUUAUCACAUGGUUCAUCAGUACUUUGAAACCCUUUGUGAUAGGAAGCUCCAAGUAUGUUCUCCAGGAAAAUUGAGGUAUCAAAAAGGAAAGCACAGAAUUACUGAAAUGGAAAGUAUAUACUAUUUGUCGGUGAUAAUACUUUGGGUUUAAUUUCUUUUAUCCUAUCAGUUUGUUGGUGCACAAAUUUGGUCACUCCUAUCAGUUUGUUGGUGCACAAAUUUGGUCACUAUAGGGGAAUUAAGUUCACUAACUUGGUAUCAGCUCUCCUUGAUGCCUCUUAAGUUGGUUGCUUAUUAGAUGUCUCCCACUUCAUUUUUGAGGACAUAAAUUUGAAUUCUGUUAAGUUCUUUGCCUAUAUGCCUAGGUUAAAUUUGGCGAGAAUUCUGACCUGUUGAGGGCCACUUGUUCAGUUUAUAUGCUUCUUGACUACAAUCUUUUGUUAUUCAUGUUCACCUGUAUUGUUCAUUUUUCCUGCAGUUUGCUCAUUAUCAGAAAAUAAGUGCCUUGCUGUCUCUUGAAUUCGAUCGAUGCUCCUUGACCUGUUGCUUUUUUGCAGUUGUUGUGACAGCUGUAACAGAUCUGGGCAACGGGAAGCCAAAGUUUUACUCUACACCUGAGUUAAUUGCGUUUUGUAGGAAAUGGCGCCUUCCGACAAACCAUGUCUGGUUGUUCUCAACAAGGUGGCCAUUAGGUUAUAAGCAUAUAUAUAAAAUGUGCUAAGUGGAUUCUUGCCUUUUAGAUCUUAAAGAGAAUGUAGCUUCAGCAGGUUUCUUUUGCUAAUUGCUAUUUGGAGGAAAUUUGGUUUUCUUGGUGAAGUAAGAGGAAUGCCUUUUGUUUUAGUAGCUUAAGUUUAAGCUUCUCAGUUGAAGCCAGAUUGCUCAUACAUUUUUGAAUUAUCCCCCACUUUCACUGUGUAAGAUUUAGGAAAGUGUAAGCAUAUCAACCAAAUGUAGAUUGCUUACAAUCCAAUGUAGACUGACUCACUGACUCUUGAAUUCAAAUUGCUUCGAGGUUUUUAUUGCAAUCUGGGAAUUCUAGGUUUCAGAAAAAUGAUCAUGCAAUUUUGUUGAUUCCAGUACACUUUCUGAUGUGUCUACUUCUCUUUGCUGUCAAUUGUUGUGUUGCAUCUCAACUUCUAAGUUUAGACAUUCCAUUUCUAUGUUAAUCUGUUCAGUCUGGUUUUUGUACCUUUACUUUAAUGAUAUCAUUUGCUGAUAAAAAAUCUUUUGUUAUUAGGAAAUCUGUCACUUCAUUUUUUGCUGCCUAUGAUGCAUUAUGUGAAGAAGGAACAGCAACACCUGUAUGUAAAGCUCUUGAUGAAGUAGCAGACAUAUCUGUACCUGGUAAACACUCUUUGGAACUUUUACUUAGUUUAAUGGUGCCAAAAAUUUACCAUUUCAUCAGUUGCCAAAUGUCUAUCAUCUCACACGUUGUGUUUUAGUUAGCAGACAAAUCCUAACCUCAUUUUGUUGGGAUAUUCAUUCAUAUCAAACUUUUUUGUUGGUUUUCCUUCAGGAUCAAAAGAUCACGUAAAGGUUCAGGGUGAGAUAUUGGAAGGUUUGGUUGCUCGUAUAGUGAGCCGUGAUAGCUCAGUGCACAUGGAAAAAGCCUUGAAAGAUUUCCCUCCACCACCAUUAGAUGGAAGUAAGCUUUUGAAGUCAGCUUGCUGCCUUAUAUGGACUUUAGUUUUUAGUUUGUGUUCCCUGAUCCCAAAGUAAGUUAAUGUCGCAGCAUGCAUGAAGGUGGCAUAAAAAUAGCAGUUUAGGCCUAAAUCUGCUGCAGAUUAAUGGCUUCCUUAUAUAUAUAAGUGCUACAAGACAAUCUAGAAGCAACACCACAAAAAUUCCUGAAGUUUCCAUUAAAUAUGCAAUCCUUGUCUACCUAGUAUUUGCUUGAUUGAAAUAUUGAACAUAGGUUCUUAUCCUAUUUUUGGCUUCUGUCUUCUGAGGUUCUUAUCUCUUCUUUUCCUUUGUCUGAAAAGUUCCAUUGGAUCAUGAUAAUUGCUAUUGUGAUAUACAAAUCAAACUCUAUUACAACAAAGUUUUGUUUGAGUUUUUCCAUCUGGAUUCUGGAUACUUUUAUUCUUUACUUGUUGAAUAUUUGCAGCUAAAAUUUAUCAAUAAUUUGUUUUCUCAAUAGCCAUCUACUUCUAUAAAGGAUUCAAGCAUUUUUUUGAUUGGGGAUGCUGAAAUCAAUCUUUUGUCAUAGUGGUUUAUAUAAGAUUUCAUGGGAAAGCAUUUUGAUUGAUGGAGCUUGGUAGUUCUUUCCUUGUAUUUUCUUCUUUGGGCUCCCUAUCCUCCUUUUAGCUUAAUUUGAAGAAAAAGUGAUGUAGGACAAAUUAGAAAAAUCCUAAUCUAUCUUGCUAGUGAUGAGCCCAAAAUAUGUCAAAACCAAAUUUAGAAUUUUCAAGAAAUUUUGGAAUAAUUUUCAGAUUUUUGUUUAAAAAAAUUAAGAAAGUUAAGAGAAAAUUAAAGAAAAUAGCCGAUAAAUAGGAAAAGUCAGAAAAUUUGUAGAGUUGUUUUAGAUAAUUGAAAAAGCAAAUUUAAAAGAAGAAUAAGAGAGAAAUAGAGAAAAUAAGAAAAGAUAAGGAAGGAAAGAGAAGAUAGAACAUUUAGGAAGAAGAAUUUUGUCAGCACACAAGGUAGGGAAGGGGGGAAGAAGAAGGAGAUACCAUGAUCAUAGUCAAAACAUAAAACCAAAAUUUUAUUCCAUCAUAACUAUUCUCCAAAGUACAAAAUAUAGGUUAUAUUUAUAAUCUUCAAAAUAUAAUUCUAAUCUAAAAAAAAUCCCAUGAUUUUAGGGAUCUUUUUCGAAUUCGAAAAUAUCUGAAAAAAGCCUAAACCAUAUUCCUAAUUUUUAGAGAUUUAUUCUACAUUAUAAAUCCUAAAAAAUCUUUAAAGAAUGGUUGAAAUAAAUUUAACAAACAAAAUAAUUCUGAAAAUUAGAAAAAAAAUAAAACCUAAAUGAAUCAAUCCUAGCCGCAUCCGAUUCUGCAUUAUUCGCUUCUGCUACCUAGAAUCUUGUCCUCAAGAUAUUUGUUGGAGCUCAAAGAUAUUUUAGAUAUGGUCCAAGAAUUCCAUUACCCGUAGUGAAAUCAACUCGACGUAGAAGCAAGUUUAUACCCAUCUUCUUCAACUUCACAUUAUUAGUUAAUUUACAAGGCAUGAAUUUCAUUUUUGAUCCAGCACAGUUGAACGAAUAAGUAUUUUCAUAUUAGUCGUGCUUCACUUUGUGAUCAUACAUCCAUGGCCUUCCAAAUAGUAUAUGUGCGACUUUCAUAGGUAGAACAUCACAAGAUACUUGUUGAAUUAGCUUACCAAUUGAAUAUACAACUAGGCAUUGUCGAGUGACUUUAAAAUUUUGGUUAUUCACCUAAUGCUAAUUUGUAAGGCUCAGGAUGUGGUGUGGUCUUCAGCUUUAGUUUGUCAACGACUUCUUUAGAAAUACUGUUGGCACAACUUCCCGAGUCUAUAAUUAUUGAACAAACUUGUCCAUUGCAAAGAACUCGAGUUUGGAAGAUGUUAUGGCAUUUCCAGUCUUUAUCAUCUUUCGUCAUGUGGGUUGAGAGUAUAGACCUAAUAACUCCACAAUUUUCAAGCUCUUCAUCAUAUUCGGGCUCGUGCUCUUCGAUAUUAUCAUCAUUAUCAUAUGGUACGGUGCAUACUUUUUCAAAAUCAUCAUUAUGUGCUUGAGCCAUUGCUAAGUUACGUUGUGGACACCGGUGAGCAUAAUGCUUGGUCUUAUUGCGCUUGAAACACUUGCCUUCUCUUUUCUUUGAUGCCUCAGAAGUUGAUGCCUUAGAGGAUGCUCGAGGAGUUGAUACUGGUUGCUUCAUCUUUUCGGGCACGGUGUACUGAUGCUCGGACUGUGACUCAGGAUUGCGUAGAAAGUUAGGUCGAGUCAAUGAAAUACGUUCAUUUUGCUUCUCCACAAUUUGGCGUGCAAUUUAAACUGCAUCGACAUGGGGGAGGAGUCGACUAGAUGUUAACUUUUCAGCAAUAUUGGGAUGGAGGUCCCGUCGAUACAUGGUAAUCAACAAAUCCUCACUUGAUGGAAAUUCUGAUCGUGUUGCCAGAUGGUAGAAGCAUGGAGUGUACUCCUCAACUGUCUAUCUUGGGUUAAUUGGGUAAACUGGUAUGAACGCGCUGCCUAUGGUCAAUUGGUACAAAUUGACGUGUCAUAGCUCUUUUCAUGUCCUCCCAUGUACGGAUAGCCAGAUAAGGAUAUUGUUGCGCUCGUGUUCACCAGAUACGUGUUGUACCAUGGAGUUUUGACUCUACAAUCAUAAUUUUUUGAUCUUCCGUAGGUUGGUACCAACGAAAAUAUGCCUAAAAAAUAAACCCAGUCUAAAAAUACUUCACGGUCAAUGUCACCAUGAAACUCCUCGAUAUGAAACUUGAUACUUCUUUGAUUUUAUGUAGCUUUGGUAUGAGAUGUAGUGGUUUGAGCUUGCAGCGGGGUAUUUUAAACAAAUUGAGGUAUAACAGGAGGUAAGGGUGGGACAGAAGUUGUGGAUGUUAGGAAGGAGCCCCUGGGCGGAGGUUUAGAAUGAAUUAGGGUUUGAAGGAGUUGUUUGAUUUCGGCUAAUUGUUGGUUAUUUUGAACCAAGUUCAAAUUUGUUUGGUUGUUUGUGGCUUGAAAAGAUUGCAAAUCAGUUUCUAACUUUUCAAAACGAGUGUUGAUAGAAAGCUUAAAAUUUUUGAACAUUGAACUAAAUUCUACAUUUGUCAACACUUUGUAAAUUAAUUUAUUUAUCAACUUUGCUCUGAUACCAAAAGGACAAAUUAGGAAGAUCCUAAUCUGUCUUGCUAGUGAUGAGCCCAAAAUAUAUUUAAAACCAAAUUUAGAAUUUUCUAAAAAUUUUAAAAUAAUUUUCAAAUUAAAAAAAAAAAAAAAAGAAAGUUAAGAGAAAAUUGAAGAAAAUAACUGAUAAAUAGAAAAAGUCAGAACAUUUGUAGAAUUGUCUUAGAUAAUUGGAAAAGCAAAUUUAGAAGAAGAAUAAGAGAAAAAUAGAGGAAAGAAGAAAAGAUGAGGGAGGAAAGAGAAGAUAGAACCUCUUAGGAAGAAGAAUUUUGCCGGCGCACACUAAAGCACGACUAAAAUAAAUUAACAAACAAAAUAAUUCUAAAAAUAAGAAAAAAAUAAAAAUAAAACCUAAACGAAUCAAUUCUAUCCGCAUCAAAUUCUGCAUCAAAAAGUAAGCCUAAAGAUGGAAAGAAUGUUGCUGAAGUUGUGUAGAUGGUUUCUUAAAAAUUUCUUCAUCAAAUUUUGAAUAGAUUGCUUCUUUGUCUAUAAUUAAUUAGACCAAAACUAGUAAUUCAUUAUAAUGUGUAUGGGCCCAUCUUAGGUGUCUACCUUCUCACAAAUUCUUUCUCGAGGAGUAUUUUGUUCAUCUUAGAUUUCAGUAGUAUAUAAUCUGGUUAGAAUUGAAAUGCAUACAGUAUCUUUCUCUUAUUUAUCGAAUAUUUUAUAUAGUUAUGUUUGCGCUAGAUUAAGGUCCAAUGUAUUUAUUUAUUUAUUUUUUAAAUCUUCUGAAUCUUGCUUUGCUUGCAGUUGAUCUUGAUUUGGGACCAAGUUUGCGUGAAGUUUGUGCUGCUAACAGGUCUGAUGAAAAGCAGGUGAUCUUCUUCUUCCUCACUCUCUUUGUUCUCUUUCAUAAAUAGUUGUUUUGUUUUCGUCUUUAUUUGUUCCCCAUGGUUUGACUUAUUUUGUAGUAUUUCUUCAGCAAAUGAAAGCACUUCUUGACAAUGUUGGGACUUCUAUGUGCCCUGACCACUCUGAUUGGUUUGGGAUUGGCGAUUUUGGUGCUCAUUCUCGGAAUGCUGAUAGGUCUGUCCUUACUAAAUUUUUGCAAGCUCAUCCCACAGAUUAUGCAACCAUGAAACUGCAGGUAAUGAGCAUUCGUUGCCUACCUUGUUCUGAAUGUUGUCAAUUUACUUGAGUGAAGUAUUUCUUUGUGCUUGUAUUGGGAAAUGGAAAUGUGAGGUUGCUAAGUAGUAUAGUGAUGUUUGGUAGAACUAUUCCUGCUUUUGAAUUUCCUUCUUAGGGCUGAUAAUGUUACAGGUAACGAAUAGUUAUAUAUAAUAGUUAACGCUCUGUACCAAAAAAAUACCAUAGAGACUAUUAUGUGCAACCCAAAAAGCAAACAACAAAGAAAAUCGAAGUCUAAGUUUAAUUUAAGGCAGGUUAACGAAUGUCUGAAUCUUCUAAAAAAUUAAAAGGUUGAAAAAGAAGAUAGUUUUGAUUUUUUUUUUUUUUUGGUGUUUGAGGUGAGGUGAUGGGACGUUGGUGGUUUGGCGGGGGGAAUGGAGAAUAAAGGCUAACGGAGAUUUGUCACUCAGAUUAAGGAAGAGAACUUGUGGAGCAAUUGAUGAACAAACUCCUUUGUCUUGAUGUCGUUGCAAUAGUAGCUCAACUGCUCAAUUUUCUUUAAUGGGGCAGUUAUGUAUGAUUCAGGUGGGGCAGGAUCUCUGUUUCUAAACUCAAAUGAAAGGCUGUUUUUGAUGUGUUUUUCCUUUUCUUUUAAUAUUUGAUAGUUAGGUUUUGAGGUAUUGAAGGUCAAAAGAAUUUUAGGCAGAUGGCUGUAAUGGACAAGUUCUGCAAAUCCCAGUAGGGAAAUCACUCUGAAAAGUUUGCUGUGUUCAAAUGCUCAAAGUUGUGCCUCUCAUUGGGUGGCAGCCUAGCACGUACAGGGACCUUGUAGCUAUAGCAAGAUAACCAUACAAAUUACCUUUUUUAAGAACUUGAGUUGUUGGAAGUAAAAAGACUAUGCAAACGAAGUUAAAGCGCAGAAUAUGAUAGGAUGUUUACUGUUGCUAUUGUGGACUGGUUUGGAUUAAAUAUUAAAUUUUCAAUAUUCUGUAAGAAAAUUGUUUUAAUGUACUUUCAAAAUGGAAUGUCAUCAUUGUUUUUCUUGAAUGGAAGGAUUGUAGAUGCUUUUAGCAGUUUUAUCUGCAUAUAUAUCUAGUACUUUAUUGCUAGAGGUUUUUUCUUUUGUUUACCUUUCUUCUCCUUUUGUACGCGAGCUGUGCAAUAAUAUCAUUAUUGUAAAUUGCAACAGGAGUUAAUACGUCUGAUGAGACAGAGACAUUUCCCUGCUGCUUUUAAGUGUUACUGUAACUUCCACAAAAUUGACUCUUUGUCAAAAGACAAUUUGUACUAUAAGAUGGUUAUACAUGUCCAUAGUGAUUCUGUUUUUCGUCGAUACCAGCAAGAGAUGAGGUCUGCUAUACUAACUUUGCUUUUUUUGUACUCCCCUCUUGUAUUCCCAUCUCGUUUAACUGUCUUAUCCAAGUGUAGAGCUGUCCUACAUUCUAAAUGACACUUUCUUUCAGAGGUUCUAAAUCUGGCUUUUCUAAUCUGUGACAGGAGAAACCGUGGAUUAUGGCCGUUGUACAGGGGUAGGAAGUUCCCCCUACAAUUUGUAUUCACCUUAUUCCAUGUGCUACUGAAAACGAAUAAUCUACCUUCUCCCAAGUUGUGUAGUUUAGUCUGUCUUGUUUUGCAUGCUAGGUUUCUUCAUCGACAUAAACUUGUUUAAGGUGACCAAAGAGAAGGCUGCUGAACUUGCCAAAGACAGUAAUUCUAUGCUUAAGAAUAUAAAUGGUGCCACUGAGUCUGAUUCCUUAUCAACAAAUGGUCUAGCUGAUGAGGAUGCAAAUCUGAUGGUCAAGUUAAAAUUUCUGACAUACAAGGUAUGGUUUGCUCCUCUUGAGUUAAUGAGGAGAACUUUGUUUUCCUUGAAAUUUGUACUGUUUCUUUUAUGUUAAUAUGUUGUCCUUUGCUCAUUUCUGGAAAGAACUUUGGGUGUUUAAUAUACGACAGUUGUUACUUGUUUAUUAUGUUGUUUCCUAAGUAUUUUUUUCAGUUAUCUUGAAUUAUUGAAUGCCAGAUAGAAAGAGAACUUAUACAUAUGCUUAACCAGUCAAAGGAAGACCUAUAUUCAGUUUAUUGGGAAUUCUUGCCAUGUUGUUUCUAUCAUGGCAUAAAACAGGUGUUGAUACAGACCAACUGGCCAAACAAUGAUCCCCGGAACUAAAAGCAUGGUUAUAUUGAUGGUAUCAGUUAUCACAUGCUAAAACUGUUGGACAUUGAUAUCUAAGAUUCAUAUGCUUAGUUGUGUUCUAGACUCUUUGGUAUAUCUAGAACUGUUCACAAUAUUUCGAUUACUUAAUACUAUAAGAUCAAACUAUCUCAAAAUUGACAGUUCUGAUGGUGCAUACUAGGCAUUUGUUAGACCGGUUGUUUAGGCCAUGUCCGACUGAGUCCAAGCUAGUUUAAUGUUCAUUAGAAAAUUUUUUCAAGUGUCAGAGUUGAUAAUGAUGGCUUUGAUUUUUAGUUUGGAUAAUUAUGCGUUAUUUAAGAAGCUUUUUCAAUUUGCCUUUUUUCAUUUUUCUCUGUACUUGAUGCAUACACAAAAGAGCUAAUGUGACUCUAAUUUUUACGUAUUUCUUUCACUCUAGAUCCUACCUGAUGAUCAGAUUUCCAAUAGAUGCUAUAUCAUUAAUUUGAAAUUAAUAGUAGUGGCAUUCAAAUACUAUUGAUGGUGCCCUAUUCUUGUAUUUUGUGUAUUACAUGGAUAUGAAUGUUCCAUCUAUAUGCUGGAAAUCUUGGUUGCUUUUCAUUUUGAAAGAAGUAUGCCAACUACUGUAUUGUGCUUUUAUACAUGUCGAAGCAAAGUACUUGAGGACAAACCAUAUAAUGGAGGACCCCUUUUUUGUGACAGUUACGGACAUUUUUGAUUCGAAAUGGUUUGUCCAUACUUUUCAAGGAUGGCCCAUCAGCCUAUAAGACUUAUUACCUCAGGUAUGUGUACAAUUGCCAAACAUCUAUACAAUUGCCAAACAUGUAAUAGUCAAGCACUUUGCUUCAUAGUUCUUACAAACUAUUUUAAAUACUUCUUAGCUCCAUUUCCUAAAGAAUGUUCAUUAUUCUGGAUACAUCUUUGCCAUUCCAUUUCUUUAUUGAUCAACUUUUCCUACCAUCUAAAUUAAACAAUGUGAAGUCUGUCUCUAGCUGACUUCUCUUGGUAAAGUUGAACUUUCCGCAUUGUUCUUCCAUUAUGCCAUAUAUAAAUUGCUUAUAUUUUAAAGAAUGGCUGUUUCAUAGAGAUGCUUCACGGAAUGUGUUCUCCAUCUGCUGAAUGAAAGUAACAAUGAUGUUACUAUACAAUUUUCUGUUAAAGAUGUUCCUGCAAACUCUGAAUGUAUUAUUUCAACUACCUGCCUGUUUCUAUCAGUUUGCAAAAUGCCAAUACAUUGAUAUAGUGUUCCUGGCAGUGCAUAGCAUGCUAACAUGUUCUCAGAGAUAAGUUUCAUGCAGCCCAAUAACCUGCCACUUAACUUCUCAAAUGAGUUUUUGAGCUACCACAUAACAAGUGAUUUUAGCAGGUAAAGAGUUCAAUACAUGGCCAUGGUUCGAAGUUUUACAACUAUCAACUUUCCUGACACAGAUCAACUUUUGUGGGUGACAAACUUAGAAAGGUUGAAAAACUUGUGUAGUAGUAGCAGCGUGAAUAAUACUGGAUUAGGCAUGUAGGAAGAUUAUGCUUGUUUGGUGCUGAUGCUGGCAUUGUUGUAAUACAACCAUCCUCCACUGACAUUUAAGCAGCCGCAAGAACUUUGCCAAUGGCCCAACUAAAAGGAAAAGGAGCACUAUGUCUUUGAGUUGAUGGUGAGGAAAGUGACCACGAAAGGGUAAAAAAAAACCUCUUAAGAUAUUGGAAAGGCACAAAAUUGAAAUACUAAUGGUGAGAGUUGUUUGGUUUCAAGCAGUGAGGUACUGAUGCAGGUCCAAAGCUGAAAUGCAUCUUCUUUUGCAACAACUGACGAAUAACAGGUUGAACCAGAGCCAACUGUACCUUGUACAUUGUCAAAAAAAAAGCAUAGAUUAAAGCGUAGGGUUGAUCCAGCACUAUAAUCAAUUAACACUUGAGAAAGACGUCAAGUCUUGUUUGCUUGCAUCCAAUAUGAAGGAAUAAACUAAUUGGUAAAGCAAUUGUAGACAGGACAACACAUGAGGUUGUUAUUUAUUAGUUGUUCUUUUUAACAUAGGCCAAGUUUUAAUGGUGUAUAAUAAUCCUUCUUAGUAGGAAAUUUUACUCGGUUAUAUUACAUAUCUCUUACGACAAAUUUAUACUAUGCUUAAUUCUUGUUAUGCUUAAUUCUUGAUCUCCAUUGUCUGUAUUGAUAGGCAAAUGAAGAACUGGGGAACAUCAGCUAAUAAGCAGAGAGAACUUAGCAAAAUGUUGGACGAGUGGUAACUGCUAACAACUUGUGCCAAAACUGUUUUCUGUUUUUAUAUAGCUUUACUAUCUUCAAGUAUUUUUAUGCCCUUUUUUUUUCCUUUCUAAUUGUUUCAACUGUGCAGGGCUGUCUAUAUUCGGAGAAAAUACGGAAGUAAGCAGCUUUCCUCAUCAACAUAUCUUAGUGAAGCUGAGCCUUUUCUUGAGCAGUAUGCCAAGCGCAGCCCUGAGAACCAGGCUUUGGUAGGAGCUGCUGGUAGCUUAGUUAGGGCAGAAAACUUUUUGGCCAUAAUUGAUAGAGAUGAGGAGGGCGAUCUUUGUCCUGAGGAGGUAGCACCUAUUAGUCCUGCUUCUGCAACCACUGAUGUGGUUCCCAAAAGUGAAGGCCUUAUUGUAUUCUUUCCUGGUAAAUUUGACGUUUCUAGAUUAUUACUUUUUCAGCAUGAAACCAAAUCACAGUAUCUCUUUUUACUGACGACAUCAUUGCCAUAAUUUCUGGGAUAUCUACACUUUAGAACAAAACAAUGUGAGAACUCUGAUGGUGAGUGCCAUUAAAUGCAUAGCUAACUUUAUCUACUUGCUUCCAUUUUGUUAACUUUAAUCUUGCAAUGCAUCGUUCUACUUUUCGCCCUACAUGUAUGACAUUUGCUUUGUUUUUGUUCACUGAAAUCAUGGUUUAAAAUCACCUUCUAUGUUUCCUGGAACUUGUUUAAACUUCGUCAUUUUGUUUCAGGCAUACCUGGUUGUGCCAAGUCAGCACUUUGCAAAGAAAUACUGAGCACUCCUGGCGGCCUUGGUGAUAAUCGCCCUGUGCAUAGUCUCAUGGGAGAUCUUAUCAAAGGUUAGAUAAUAUCAUUAUUUAUGAUUUUAAUGUGUGGUUUGCUAAUAUUCAUUAUUAAUGAUUGAAAUGCGGUUUCGGUGGCCAAGUUAUGAGGAUUAGGUUAUCAUGAUGCUCCCGAGCACCUGGGUACCUUUACUUCCUUUACAUGCAUGCAGCAUCUGUUUGUGUUCGCGUCAAUGCAAAUUGUAUGGUUACUGUGGAUGCGUAAAUAGCACAAUAUUCUCUAGUACUUUUCCUCAAAUAUAUUAUGUCAACAUGCAAGCAACAAGAUACUUGGAAUGACUUUAAUUUGAAAAUGUUUAAACUUUUAUAUCUACUAGUAGUCUGUGCAAUAAAUUUCCUGCAGUGUUUGUUCCUUUAAAAUGUUGGUGUACUCUUUGCAAUAAAGAGAAUCUUUAAGUCGUGAUGAAGUUAUUUUCCUCAUUUAUACUCUAUUAAAGGAUCAGGAUAAUGUAGAUUAUAAGUCUGUCGAGCUUCGCAUUAUAUUUUAGAUGUAUGUGCUUUGUACAUAGUGCAUAUGAUAUUUUAGUUUGUAUAUGCGGAAACAAAUAACUAUUCAUGUCAACAAAGAGUUGACUGUCUUUGUGUUAACUGUUAAGCUAGUACAUUUUGCCAAGAAUCACGAGUCUUUCCUCUAGAUGUGAAACCUAUCGAAUAGCAUGUAGUUGAAUAUUCAGACCAUUGGAAGGUUUUCCACGAUAAUUUGUUUUCUUAUUUCCUGCCGAUGUGUCAAGUUGGAAUUGUGUAAGUACUACUCUGGAUAGAUUGGCUAAAUAAGAAAUCGGUCAAAAUAUAUGGAGGCCUCCUUAACUAUAAGCCAUUUUGAAAUGGUCCCCUCAUCUUUCUUUUUUUUUUUUUUUUUUCUUUUUUCUUUUUAAAAUUGACACCCCCUUUACUUUUGAUUUUUUUUUAAGAUUGAGAAAUUUUCCUAAAAUAAAUUAGAGAUUUAUCCAAUUUAUCAAUGAUUCCAUCAAAUUACUAUAUAAAAGAAAGAAUCACUUUUUAGAGAAUCAAACUUGCAAGGAAUAUCUUUAUGUCGACGUUAUAUUUAGAGUAUUGAAAAUCCCCAUAAAGAUCAUCUGAAUUUUAUAUCACUUGGUUAAAUCAAUAUAUCAGAAUCAUGCGAUAAACUAAUCCUCUUCUGGAUCUUCUGGUACCUGUUACAAAACAACCAAAGCUUGUUGACUUCCUUUUGUCAAGGUUUGUUUGAAGUGUUUAAUAUUAUCUAUGACCCAUUUGGCUAUAACUGCAUGGUAUGUAUAUUUAUGUGUAUAUUCAGAUUCCAUAGAAUGGAGUGACCAUUUGAAGUUUUUGCUUUCGAUGUAUUAGGGAACUAGAAAGGUCUGCCUGAUCAUCUUAGUUAUCUUAUAAACAGUUUAAUUUCUGAAGUGUUCUGGGAAAUAUAAUCAUUUUCUUGUUUCUCCGUAUUCUCUUAAUUGUAUGAAUCUUUGCAGGAAGAUAUUGGCAAAAAGUUGCUGAUGAGCGGAAAAAGAAACCAUGUGCUAUAACACUUGCUGAUAAAAAUGCACCAAACGAAGAAGUGUGGAGACAGGUGAUGCUUUAUUCCCAGCUCUGAGGAUUACAUAUUUUUUCUUCAUAUUGAACUGUUUCAAGGUAUGAAGAAUUAUGACAUGUACUCUUCCCUUAUUCCAGAUUGAGGAUAUGUGCCGAAGCACUAAGGCCUCUGCUGUUCCUGUUGUUCCUGAAUCUGAAGGUAGCUUAUUUUGCUUUGUUUACCUUUUUGGGCAUUGUUUCUAUAUUUCUGCUUUUUUCUGUGUAUAUUUCCACAAGCAAUGCGUCCAACAGGUCCCAUCCAAACCCUUCAUUUCCUUCAUCGAACAGUCUAGAAAAUGCCACAAUAGGAGUAUGACCAUAUUCCCAUUGUAGUAACCCGAUGACUUCAUUACUUUUGUCUUUAAUCGUGAUCCAACGGCCUAUGCCAGAACUGCACUGAAUCAAAGCUCAAUUUCCAUUGCAUUACUUAACUGUAUCUUGGCUAAGUCUGUGGUGCUUGUCGGUCCUUAGUUUUCACUUUUAUACUGCUGGAAAUAACUUAGCUCUGUUUAAAAGUUGCUAAGUUUCUUUUCCUGAUAGAUAUGAAACCUGAUUCCAGUAUUCAGUUUAAAACAUAAAACUUAGUUGCACUUGCAUAUAGUGUUUGAAAAGGCGCGCCUGAGGCGCGGGCCUCAGCGUCUCAGGGAAGCUGAGGCGCAGCGUCCUCUCUAAGGUGCGCACCUAGACUCCGAGGCAUGCGCCUCAGACGCGCCUCGGGAUAUUUAAAUUUAAUGAGUCUAAGAUUUAGGUUUUUGGGUCUCGAGUUUUUUUCGAUUUAUAUUCUAAUAUGUUAAGGGAUUGAAAAAAAUUCCUAAUUUGAACGCUUUGUUUUCCGUUUCUCUUGGUCAUUCUUCUCUUCCCCCAAUGGCAACAAGGCAGCAAGUACUUUUAAGUUGAAAGUUGAAACAUAUAUAUUUUUUUGUUAGUUUGAGAACAUUUAUGCAUGUGAUUUCUUUAUUUUUUUAUGGUUAUUUUGUUUUUGUUUGGCUAUUUUGGAAUCUUUUAUGUAAACCAUCAAUUUAAAGUAGACUUGUUAAGGGUGUUUUAUUUUUAUUAUAAGUGCACCUCGCCUUCUUGAGGCGCGCACCUCAAGGUGCCCCUCGCGCCUAGGCUCCAGAAAGCCUUUUGCGCCUUUUUGCACUUCGUGCCGUUUCAAACAUUGCUUGCAUAUUUGAUGAUUAUAUUAAAUAGAUGCCAUGAAGAAUCGGUAGGUGAGUUGUGGGACCAAGUCCUUACAUUUUUGCAUGUAGAUGAAUUCAUGUAUCUAUGAAAGCAAUUACAGUUGUUCUCAACUGUAAUUACUGAAUUUUAUCCAACUAAAAUUAGUUUAAAUAUUAAGUAAAUAUUUUAAUCCAAUUAAAAUCAGUUUAAUUAUUAAGUAAAUUUUUUUUUUUCUGCGUUCUACAUUGAGCUUAUGUAUUGCUCUUAAAGAGCUUUGAUUGAGUCUAGAAAACCAUUUGGCAGGUAGAAAAGCUAAGCAAAUCUCUCAGAUUUCCCUACAGCUUGAGACCUAGAGAGGAGAGGAACUAGAUUAACAUUGGUGCAUUCUUUAAUUCUCUACUCUUUUUUAUCACUUCUGUAAUUUUUUGUCCCUUCCAAUGUUCAGGAACUGAUUCAAAUCCAUUUUCUCUUGAUGCGCUGGCUGUUUUUAUGUUUCGUGUACUUCAGCGGGUUAAUCAUCCGGUAUUUGAAAAUUCUGGUGUUUCUUCUACUACAAGCGAGCUACACAUCAUGUUUAAUGAUUGGAUAUCUCAUAAUUGUUUGUUCUCUUCUGAAGGGAAAUUUGGAUAAAGCAUCUCCAAAUGCUGGUUAUGUUCUGUUAAUGUUUUAUCACCUAUAUGACGGCAAGGCAAGAGUAACUAUUUGCUGUUUAAUAUGGUGGAUUCUAGCUGAUUUCAAUGUCUUAUUGAAUAAUACACAUACUUUUCCAGAGUCGUAGAGAAUUCGAGAGUGAAUUAUAUGAACGUUUCGGCUCACUAGUCAAGAUGCCUUUGCUCAAGGCUGACAGGUAUACCCUUUUUGGUUUGUUGAUAUUUUUUUUCAUUGUUUUGAUGAACUUUUGAAGACUUUUGUCUAGAGAGCAACUUCAAUUGCACGAUUACUUCAUUGCAUCUGCCAGAUACAAAUAUUCUCCAUGUUUUAUGUGUGGAAAGGACCAUCUAUGGAUCUUUUUUGGGGGCCAAAAUUCUUAUCUUCUAAAAAUGAUCAUAUUGAAUCCACUUUAGAAUUUUGGUUGGAUUAUUUAUAUGGUGUAUCAAAGUAAAUUUCUGAUGAUUUAUUUUCUAGUUGUUUCCUCUUAAGGAAGCUGGGAAGCGGGUAGUCCCACAUUUGUUAAGGGUAUAUCUAACUAAAUCUGAUUAAAGAAUCCAGUUUGUAAAAGUGGGUAAGUUCCUGAUUUCUUAAAAUGGUAUAUCAAAGUAUCAAGCUGACUGGUUAGUUCUGGCCUACAGUUAUCUGCAUAUGCCCAAUUCUGAUAAAAAAAAGAAAAGCUAUCUGUCACUAAGUAGAUGCCGCGUGCCUCCUAGUGAAAACAGAGGUUGAAGUCUAAGAGUUUUUGAGUAUGUGAAUCAUAAGCUAUGUUUGAAUGCAAGCUAUGUUUCAUCUGUCUAGUCGGUACCGAUGCUAGCUAGUUGGUAGCAGUGCUUAGGAGGCCACAUGAUUGCUUGGUGCUCAAUGAGCUUAAAGGUGUAUAAUCAGCUGAUGUGGGAGGAACUUCCAUGAUACCUUGGGUGUUGUCUUUUUAUUUUCAAAAAAUUUACUCAUUCUAAACUUCACUAACCUUUAUGUUUAAUUGACUUGAAGCCUACUAAUAGCGUAUGGACUUUCCUUAGAGCUGGUAAAUGGUUUUUGUCUAUUUUAGGUUGACCACUUCUUUCUUGAAAAUCAUUUGCUUUGAUUCGGUAAUUCCAUUUUCUGUUUCUGACGGUGCUCUCACUUUGGAACCGCUUAGUUUAUACACUUCCUUUAACUUUAUUAUUAGUUUGGUAUUCAAUUAUGAUGAGAUCUUCUUUUUCUAUAUACAUAAUGCUUGCUCAGUGAGUACUCCAAUUUAGUAUUCUUUGGAUCUAACAUUCUGUGCUAAAUGAGAGAUCAUUACUCUUUGCUGACAUCAGGGAGCCGUUGCCUGAGCCUGUGAAGUCUAUUCUUGAGGAAGGGAUUAGUUUGUUCAGGCUUCACCAGAACAGGCAUGGAAGGUACUAAUGCACGAAGAGAAAUAAAUAAUCAACAAUUCAAAGUGUUUGAGUAUUUGAUAGCUUGUUGAUUUUACAAGGUAUGCCUUUGGCUGUUGGGCAAGGGUUCCAUGCAACAACUAUGCAUAAUUGCAUAUCCAUGUGCGUAUGCUAUGUAACUUUUAGGACAAAAUAUCCACAUAUAUAUUAUAUUCUUUCUCAUUUUUUUAUUUAAAAUAUAAUUAGCAUAUUUUUUUUUUAAUUCAAAAUGGACUACGAUUUAUUAUUUCAACAUAAAAUAGCACUGAAACAUUGUUUCUUUCCUCGGAAAGUAUUGUUCAUCUUUUGGGAGAAUUAACCUGUUGUUCUGCGAAAACCGUUUUCUUGAAUUUCAGGAAAGCUCAAUAGUUUUUUUACAAGUUUUUUGUCUGUCUUUUAAAUUCUUUGCAGUUAAAAGCACAUAGGAAUGGAACUUGUAGUGGCUAUUUGUUGGAUUGUUUUGCAAACACAUUUUUUUAAAAUAAAUAAACAGAGGGAAGUACUCUAUUUUGUUUUCUGUUUUCUGAUUAAACCCAUAAAACGAUAAGCUUGCAAACAAGUAAGCAACAAUGAAAAUAAGACCCAUUGUAGGUUUCUUUAACUCGUAUGAAACAUUAAUUAUUCUAUUUGUCAUUUUGACUGCGAAUACAGAAUGCUUGCAAGCAAGUCAUUGUUUAGUCUUCAUAAUUUGCAUUUAUAUGUAAGAUUGGAUGCUGUAACUUCAUCUUUCUACAACUUCUGUUGGACUUUUGAUUGAUAAAAAUUUGUCAACAUAGAUUGGAACCGUCAAAAGGAUCAUAUGCAAAAGAAUGGGCUCGAUGGGAAAAGAGGCUGCGGGAGGUCCUGUUUGGAAAUGCAGAUUACCUCAAUUCAAUUCAGGUAGAUUUACAUCCUUUGCUUAACUAUAGCAUUCUUGUUUUAUAUAUAGGUAGAGAGAGAGAGAGAGAGAGAGAGAGAGAGAGAGAGAGAGAGUUCCGCUUAUGUGCGUUUAGAAGCACGGAGGCCUCCGUGCUAUCAAGUCGUUACCGAUACUGGGAUUUUCGAUUUGACGCUCGGCUCCGUUAGAUGUGAUUUAGAAUUUUUGAAAUAGCUAAAAAAAAAAAUCGUCAUUUUUCAUAUCAUUUACCUAGUGAUUGAAAGAGUUCAAAAUCAAUGACGAAAAUAAAAAUCUCACGAAGAGUGAUGUUAUGGCACUAAAGUUUUAGAUCAGAGAUAUUGAUCUUGUUUUAUAUAGUAUAAAGAGUUUUCUAUCAAAGUUUAUUUCUACACCGUUAAAUUUGCAAACGGCUCAUUACGGUCACUAAAAUUGUUGAUUUUGGGGUCCUUCCAUUACUAAGUAAAUGAUAUCGGAAAUUUAUUUUUUAGGUACUUCAAAUAUUCUAAAUCAAGUCUAACAGAGCGGAUCGUCGAUUUGGAAGUCCAACAUCAGAAAGACUUGAUAGCACGAAGGUCACUGUGCUUCUAUAAGCACACAAGCCUAGCUAUAUAUAUAUAUAUAUAGAUAGAGAGAGAGAGAGAGAGAGAGAGAGAGAGAGCCUGGUUAUUAUACUAUUGAUAGUACCAAGUUCUUGGUACUAUCGAGUUUUUUGCCGCUAGAUCUAUCCUUUGAUUAUUUCCUUUCGUUAGAUUAUACUAUUCAAACAACUACCCACACAACCCUAGGAAACCACUAUUAUCCUCACAGCACAUCCUUUCAUCCAACGGCCGAAAACUCGGUAGUACCAAAUGCUUGGUACUAUAUAUAUAUGUGCGCGUAUAUAUGUCUAUAUGUAUAGAAUAGGGCUACUAUACUCUUAUCAGUAAAGAGACCUUCGUACUCACAAGUCGAUUUCGAUGAUGGAUCUUCCAAAUUGACAACCAUACAGUCAAACAUGAUUUAGAACAUUUGAAGUAUCUAAAAUUUGAAUUUCGUAUAUUUUUUAAUUUAUAAUAUAGUCCAUCAACUGGAUAUAAAAUGAAUAGUCAAAAUCGAAUGAUCUCAUAAAAAUAGGGGUUAGAGUUAUUGAUCUUGAUCGGAGUUAUAAAAUUUAAUAUCAGAGUUAUUGAUCUUGAUCUAUAUAGUGAAUAGAAUUUUCUAUUAAAAAUUCAGCCGAUACUGAUUCUUCUACACCAUUAACUCAAAAAUGCUCCAUACUGGUUAUUAAAAAUGUCAAUUUUGAGGCCUGUUGAUUGUAAGGUAUAUGAUGUCAAAAAAAUUAUGAAAUUUGGUUUUUAGAAUAUUUAAAUGCUCUAAAGUAUGUUAACGGUAAUGGAUCGUCGAUUCAGAAGCUCCAUCAUCGAAAAUGACUUAUGAGUACGAAGGUGAUUGUACUCAUAAUAGCAUAAUAGUACAGUAGCCUCUCUCUCUCUCUCUAUAUAUAUAUAUAUAGAGAGAGAGAGAGAGAGAGAGAGAGAGAGAGUUGUGUUAGAAUACUAUCGGUAGCUAACGGGCUUUGUUGCUACUGAUUUGUUUUCGAUGAUGAUGAAGCUUCCAAACUGACGAUCGGCGUUGUUGAACUUGAUCUAGAUUACUAAAAGUAUUUAGAAAUCAAAUUUUAUGUUUUCCUGAUAUUAUUCUCUUGUGCAUCAAAUGGAUAUAACAAUGAAUGGCUAAAUAUAAAUAUCCUUAAAAAAGUGAUGAUAUGAUUCUUGUAAUCGAGAUGAAGAGUAUAGAUUUUGUUUUAAAUAGUUAAAGAAUUUUCUAACGAAACUUUAAUUGAUUUCAAGUUUUUUUAAUAUCGUUAAAUGAGCAAAUGCCUCAUAUCGACCAUUGAAAUUUUAAAUUUUACAAUCCUUUGAUCAUUAGGUCAAAUGAUGUCAAGAAGAUUUGAAAUUUAAUUCCUAGAUACUUCAAGUGGUAUUCAAGUGGUAUAGGUUAUGUUCAACGGUGUCGAUCGUUGAUUUGGAGGCUCCAUCAAUGAAAACAAAUCGGUAGCAACGGAGCCCGUUAGCUUCUGAUAGUAUUCUAGCUCAACUUUUUCUCUUUCUCUCUCUCUCUCUAUAUGUACACACCCAAUUAUUGAAAGUUUCACUUGUUUCUUGAAUUUGUGGAUUCUUGUUAGGCUGCUUUGUGAUUCGCAUAAAGAUGCUUUUUCAUAAUUACCUAGGGAGGGGUAGGAAGAUUCUAUCAAGUAAUUCUAACCUAAAAGGAAUUUUCACUCUUACCAUAAAGUGAAUUUUGUCACUUACAGGUGGUUCGCUUUCCUUGUUGCUAUUGGCUUACUGAUUAAAUAAGAGAUCUAAUGAUGUUCUCACUAUUGAAUCCCUGUAUAUUUUGUUUGAGCUUCAUGCGUAAGCCCAUGCUUGUGGACUGCAAAACAGAAGAUAAUUUGUUUUCCUUGCUACGAUGAUUCUUUAAUUUGUAUAGUCUCUGACGUGCAUACGAUAGAUUUGCUUAUAUAAUAACAUAUAUAAGAUAUAAAUGUUGAUUCAUUAACAAACAAAACUGAGAGGUAUUGGUUUUAUGAUUACAUAUAUUUUUCGCUUCUUUACUGUGUGUAUUUCAUACAAUUCUUUCUUCUUGUAUCCAUUUGGUGUUAAGUUUGUAAUCCUAUUCUUUUUUUCUUUUAAUCGAAUCGUAGUUUUCAUGUCCAUCCUUGUUCUCAAUCUUAGCAAUCAAGACAUACAAUCAGUAUCGGCUAGCCUUUCCUCCGGAGAUCCUAAGUAAUGUCAGGAAGUGUUUUCUGGGUCUCAAAAGUUUCAAACGAAAGUGCUUUCUGGUCCUGAGUAAUGUCAGGAAGUGUUUUCUGGGUCUCAAAGUUUCAAACAAAAGUGCUUUCUGGGUCUUGAUAGUUACUGAAGUGAAUUAAAACAUAGGUCUAUACUAUGUUCUUACGGUGUUCUUUUCUUCAGGUUCCAUUUGAAUUCGCUGUGAAACGAGUCUUGGAGCAGUUGAAAGAAGUCGCAAGUGGGGAAAUCAGUACAUUUUAUCAUAAUGGAAUAGGUUCUCCGAUUGAUAAAGCCGUCGUCCAUUACAUUGUCGCCGCAUUUGUUACAAUGGCUUGAAGGAGAAGAGUCGCAGGCCUCAAAAUNNNNNNNNNNNNNNAUAUAUAUAUAUAUAUAUAUAUAUAUAUAUAUAUUAGUUGUUGGGGAGAGCUCCAACUUUACUGAUUCAUCAUCUGACAAAUUUACUCUCAUUUGUUGCCUAAUUGAAACAGUUAGCCAAGGAGGAUGCUAAAGUCAAAGUUUUUCUCGAAGAUAAGAACAUGGAGAACAAUCUCAAGAAAGCUCAUGUUACUCUGGCCCACAAAAGAAGCCAUGGCGUUACAGCUGUUGCAAGCUACGGCGUCUAUCUUGAGCAGAAGGUCCCAGUUGAUUUUACCGCAUUCCUCUUCUCAGACAAGUUGGCUGCACUUGAAGCACGGCUUGGGUCGGUAAAUGGGGAUAAGAUAGACUCUAAGAAUGAGUGGCCCCAUGUGACCAUCUGGACAGCCCCAGGCGUACCAGCAAAGGAGGCCAACACAUUGCCCCAGUUGGUUUCCAAAGGCAAAGCGACAAGGCUUGUUAUCGAUCCUCCAGUCACCAUAUCAGGUGUCUUGGACUUCUAUUGAUUUCCAAACUUGAAAUUUAUUGGAGUGAGAGUAGAAACUAAUUUAUGAAACCAAUUUUGUAAUGAUAGAGUGAGUGGAAGUCCCUCAAACCUCCGUUGGUAAUUUUUUUUCCCCCCUUAUGUAAAAUUUGAGCUGAGAUUCUUGUGACCUGAGUUCUACGAGGAAUUUUGUUUCGGAAUCAGAGAAUUUUUGAAAGUACUUGCAGGAAGAUACAUGAUUAUGCUUUCUUCUUUCUCUAACCUUCUUGUUAUAUUGAGUGAUUUUGUAAUGUUCAAAUAAGUUAUUGCUGUUCACAAGAUCAUCUGGGAAUCUUACGAUCUCUGAUGUGAGGCUAUGAAGCGGUCGUGGAGUUGCGGACUGAACGUGGCAAGCAGAUAGAAGUGUUCACUGAUUCAUCCUAUGCUCAACAGGAGGAUGCUCUGAUAUAAGGCCUGUGGGCUGGGUAUCAUUGUUGUCGGGUUGGACUCGGGCAUUAGGCCAUUUCAGUUCUGGAAUCGGGCUUUUUUAUAAAAUAAAUUUUUAAAAUUUUAUUAUUUGCAAAAUAAUUUUGUCAAAAUUAUAUUUGAAAAACUAAUCACUUAAAGACGGUGAAUGAUUUACAGCCUUUAUAAAGACGGUGAACGAUUCACUGCUUUCGUAAUUUCUUAAAAAAGCGGUGAAUCAUUCACUGCCUUUCACUUGUUUAUCGUUUUUUUUUUAAUAAUUCAAACAAUCACAUAAAUAUUUCAACAAAUCAUAUAUAAUCUUAACAAAUUGAAAAUUUUAAUAAUCUAUUCAUACAAUCCUAACAAUAAAAAAGAUUCUAAUAAUUUAUUCAUACAAUCGUAAUAAUCAAACAUCACAUAUAAUCUUAACAAUUUGAAAAUUCUAAUAAUAUUUUCAUAUAAUCCUACCAAUUAAAAAUUUUUAAUAAUCUAUCCAUACAAUUAUAACAAUUAAGCAAAAAUUUUAAUAUUCCAUAGACAAUCCUAACAACCUCACUUUUUUUAUUUUCCGUAUAAUUUACAUACAAUUUUAACAAUUUCAUUUUUUUUUUCUUUCUCAAAAAAUUAUGAGGAGGUUGAAAGAAAAAAUUAUGAAGAAGCCGGUGAAUGAUUCACCGUUUUUAAAACUUUCAGAAUGCGGCGAAUGAUUUACCGUGUUUCGAGAGUUAAUUUGGUUAUUUCGCAAAUUAUGAAAUUUUAGAUAGUUAUUUUUGUUAAAAAGUCCUCCGGAAU
rnacentral:lncRNA from 1 species